rnacentral:rRNA from 1 species
AACGAACGCUGGCGGCGCGCCUAAUACAUGCAAGUCGAGCGAGAAGGUGUAGCAAUACACUUGUAAAGCGGCGAACGGGUGAGGAAUGCAUGGGUAACCUACCCUCGAGUGGGGAAUAACUAGCCGAAAGGUUAGCUAAUACCGCAUACGUUUCCGGAACUCCGGUUUCGGAAAGAAAGCAAUACCGUGGGUAUUGCGCUCCUGGAUGGGCUCAUGUCCUAUCAGCUUGUUGGUGAGGUAACGGCUCACCAAGGCUUCGACGGGUAGCUGGUCUGAGAGGACGAUCAGCCACACUGGCACUGCGACACGGGCCAGACUCCUACGGGAGGCAGCAGUAAGGAAUAUUGCGCAAUGGACGAAAGUCUGACGCAGCGACGCCGCGUGGGGGAUGAAGGUCUUCGGAUUGUAAACCCUUUCGGGAGGGAAGAUGGAGUGGGUAACCACUUGGACGGUACCUCCAGAAGCAGCCACGGCUAACUUCGUGCCAGCAGCCGCGGUAA